UUUUUUACAUUUUUACCGUUUCCAUGGAAACGGUGGCCAUCUUGGACCAUUCCAUAGCAAGAUGCACAACUUCAUAUGGGGGUCCUCAUUAUAGUAGAGUUCCAUCAACAUUGGCCCAUUUGAUUCCGAGAACUAGCGUGGACAGAAUGUGAGGAAGAAGAUUGAUAAAAUUAAUAAGAAAAAAAAAGAAACGUAGAAUACAGUAUGUCACCCCAACUCCGUUGAGGGUGCCAUAAUAA
rnacentral:lncRNA from 1 species